UACGGAGGGGGCUAGCGUUGUUCGGAAUUACUGGGCGUAAAGCGCACGUAGGCGGUUUUUUAAGUCAGGGGUGAAAUCCUGGAGCUCAACUCCAGAACUGCCUUUGAUACUGAGGAUCUUGAGUUCGGGAGAGGUGAGUGGAACUGCGAGUGUAGAGGUGAAAUUCGUAGAUAUUCGCAAGAACACCAGUGGCGAAGGCGGCUCACUGGUCCGGUUCUGACGCUGAGGCGCGAAAGCGUGGGGAGCAAACAGG
rnacentral:rRNA from 1 species